rnacentral:rRNA from 1 species
AUUGAACGCUGGCGGAAUGCUUUACACAUGCAAGUCGAACGGCAGCACGGGGGCAACCCUGGUGGCGAGUGGCGAACGGGUGAGUAAUACAUCGGAACGUGCCCAGUCGUGGGGGAUAACGUAGCGAAAGUUACGCUAAUACCGCAUACGAUCUACGGAUGAAAGCGGGGGACCGUAAGGCCUCGCGCGAUUGGAGCGGCCGAUGUCAGAUUAGGUAGUUGGUGAGGUAAAGGCUCACCAAGCCGACGAUCUGUAGCUGGUCUGAGAGGACGACCAGCCACACUGGGACUGAGACACGGCCCAGACUCCUACGGGAGGCAGCAGUGGGGAAUUUUGGACAAUGGGCGCAAGCCUGAUCCAGCCAUUCCGCGUGCAGGACGAAGGUCUUCGGGUUGUAAACUGCUUUUGUAUGGAACGAAAAGGCUCUGGUUAAUACCUGGGGCUCAUGACGGUACCGUAAGAAUAGGCACCGGCUAACUACGUGCCAGCAGCCGCGGUAA